GCCUGAUUAGCACAGUGGUAAUGCGUUGCACUCGUAUCUGCUAGAAAUGCAAAGAUCACUGGUUCGAUUCCAGUAUCAGGCA